rnacentral:lncRNA from 1 species
UUGAGUUCCACAUCUAUCUAGCAAUGGAUCUGAGUGCAAGUCGAUUUGAUUUGAUUAGAAUUUAAUCUAACCAAUCUAGAUCCAAUUGAACUAACCCAAUCUCAACAAUUAGAACUCUUUCUAAUUAGCGAUUGAAUUAAACUCUUUAAUUCGAUCAAAUCCAUAAGAUAAGAUUGACAUCUAACAAUGUAUCAUGUCUAUCUGAAAGAUAUAAAAUUUUAGUAAAAAUAUUAAAAAUAUCCUUCAGUGAAAAGUUACCGUGCAAUUUGAUCCUACGAUCUCCCUGCACCCCGAAUAUGACUUCGGAUAUGGAAUGAUGUCCAAUCCAAUAUCAUCUUAUAUUUCUCUCAAUCUUAUAUGAUGAUUCAAUUAAUAAAAUAUUAAAAAAAAAUUAAUUUUUAUUUUGCUUUGAUCAAAGGCUUCCUGAAUCAUCAAUCGAUCAGAGUAAGUAGAAUGCGAUCUCCUCUUAACAAGAGUGAUCGAUUCCAUGUUGACCUACUCACAAUCUCUAUACACAUUCUACCAUAUCC